rnacentral:tRNA from 1 species
GUGCCCGUAGCUCAAUAGGUAGAGCGGGAGAUUUUUACCCUCUAGGUCGCGAGUUCGAAUCUCGCCGGGCACUCCA